GGCAGCAUAGCUCAGUUGGUUAGAGCGUAGGACUCAUAAGCCUAAGGUCACUGGUUCAAUUCCAGUUCUGCUACCA
rnacentral:tRNA from 1 species